rnacentral:rRNA from 1 species
AAAUUGAAGAGUUUGAUCAUGGCUCAGAUUGAACGCUGGCGGCAGGCCUAACACAUGCAAGUCGAGCGGUAGCACAGAGAGCUUGCUCUCGGGUGACGAGCGGCGGACGGGUGAGUAAUGUCUGGGAAACUGCCUGGUGGAGGGGGAUAACUACUGGAAACGGUAGCUAAUACCGCAUAAUGUCGCAAGACCAAAGUGGGGGACCUUCGGGCCUCAUGCCAUCAGAUGUGCCCAGAUGGGAUUAGCUAGUAGGUGGGGUAACGGCUCACCUAGGCGACGAUCCCUAGCUGGUCUGAGAGGAUGACCAGCCACACUGGAACUGAGACACGGUCCAGACUCCUACGGGAGGCAGCAGUGGGGAAUAUUGCACAAUGGGCGCAAGCCUGAUGCAGCCAUGCCGCGUGUGUGAAGAAGGCCUUCGGGUUGUAAAGCACUUUCAGCGGGGAGGAAGGCGUUAAGGUU